rnacentral:rRNA from 1 species
UACGGAGGAUGCAAGCGUUAUCCGAAAUUAUUGGGCGUAAAGCGUUUGUAGGUGGCUUUUUAAGUCUACUGUUAAAUAUCAGAGCUUAACUUUGAGCAAGCAGUAUGAAACUAAGAAGCUUGAGUUUGGUAGAGGCAGAGGGAACUCCCGGUGUAGUGGUGAAAUGCGUAGAGAUCGGGAAGAACACCAGUGGCGAAAGCGCUCUGCUGGGCCAAUACUGACACUGAGAAACGAAAGCUAGGGGAGCAAAUAGG